ACAUGUCUAUUAGAAUAAAAUUUUUAGUCUGGCCUGCCCCCUGAUAAAAGUUAAAGGGCCGCGGUAUUUGGACCGUGCUAAGGUAGCGUAAUCAGUAGUCUUUUGAUUGAAGUCUAGUAUGAAUGGUUGGAUGAGGUGUAAUUUGUCUUUAGUAUACUAUUUGAAUUUUACUUUUAAGUGAAAAGGCUUAAAUUUUGUGGAGGGACGAUAAGACCCUAUGAAGCUUUAUGUUAUAAAUUUCUAUAUCUAAUAGUGUUGUGUUUAGGUUAAUAAUUUAGUAACAUUGUGUUGGGGCGACAGAAAUAUAAUUUUAACUGUUUUUAGAGGUAAAAUAAUUGAUUUUUAGUUUGUUGAUCUUGUGUGUUGUGGAUUAAAAGAUUUGAUGUUACUCUAGGGAUAACAGCGUAAUUUUUCUUGAGAGUUCUUAUCGACAGAAAUAUUUGCGACCUCGAUGUUGAAUUAAGGUUUCUUUAUGGCGCAGAAGUUAUAAGGGUAGGUCUGUUCGACCUUUAAAAUCUUACAUGAUUUGAGUUCAGACCGGCGUA
rnacentral:rRNA from 1 species